rnacentral:piRNA from 1 species
UGAUACAGCUUGUAUGCCUGGAGCAGU